rnacentral:tRNA from 1 species
CCAAAAUGUAGCUUAAUUAAAGCCCCUCGCUUACACCGAAGAUAUGACUGUUAAAAUCAGUUCAUUUUGA